CCUACGGGAGGCAGCAGUGAGGAAUAUUGGUCAAUGGCCGGAAGGCUGAACCAGCCAAGUCGCGUGAGGGACGACUGCCCUAUGGGUUGUAAACCUCUUUUAUAAGGGAAGAAUAAAUGCUACGUGUAGCAUGAUGCCUGUACCUUAUGAAUAAGCAUCGGCUAACUCCGUGCCAGCAGCCGCGGUAAUACGGAGGAUGCGAGCGUUAUCCGGAUUUAUUGGGUUUAAAGGGUGCGUAGGCGGUUUUUUAAGUUAGUGGUAAAACGUCGGGGCUUCACCUUGAUUUGCCAUUAAUACUGUAAGACUCGAGUUCAGACGAGGUAGGCGGAAUAAGUUAAGUAGCGGUGAAAUGCUUAGAUAUAACUUAGAACUCCGAUAGCGAAGGCAGCUUACCAGACUGCGACUGACGCUGAAGCACGAGAGCGUGGGUAGCGAACAGGAUUAGAUACCCGUGUAGUC
rnacentral:rRNA from 1 species